AAAAGAGCUGAUUUCUGCCUGGAUUUCAGCAUAUACUACUACAAACAUAUUAACAUUAACACAUUAACAUUUAACAAGUCAUGACUCCCCCUUCCAAAACUGCAUUAAAUUAAUUCUUAACACAUGUCAAGUAGCUGGGGCUACAGGCACACACCACCACGCAUGGCUAAUUUUUUCCAUUGUUGGAAAACUGGUAAACUGUUAGUGUCCCAUUGAAACCCAAUUUUACUGUGAGUAAAAUUAACCUCUGAAUCCCAUAAGGCCCUAAAGAAAUUAUCCCCAAAUCAGUGACUUGUCCUCAUUAAUGCCUUUGGACUCAUUGUUAGGUGCAAUCACAAAAGAUAUAAAAGGCAUCUGCAUAUUAUGGAGUUUAUCUCUAAAAUAGGCAAGAUGAGUUCUCACUUGUUAAAAUAGAAAUUCUAUCUGUUCUUUAAAUCCAGUCUCUUCCUGGGUGCUUACGAUUCGAUUUGCCUCUAUUUUCCAGGAAUUUGACAGAGCCCCUUCUCUCUAUUUUGUAUUUGACCCCU
rnacentral:lncRNA from 10 species